rnacentral:rRNA from 1 species
AUUGAACGCUGGCGGCAGGCCUAACACAUGCAAGUCGAACGAGUGGCGGACGGGUGAGUAAUGUCUGGGAAACUGCCUGAUGGAGGGGGAUAACUACUGGAAACGGUAGCUAAUACCGCAUACCCUCGGAUGUGCCCAGAUGGGGUUAGCUAGUAGGUGGGGUAAAGGCUCACCUAGGAGACGAUCCCUAGCUGGUCUGAGAGGAUGACCAGCCACACUUGAACUGAGACACGGCCAAGACUCCUACGGGAGGCAGCAGGUGGGAAUAGUGCACAAUGGGCGCAAGCCUGAUGCAGCCAUGCCGCGUGUAUGAAGAAGGCCUGCGGGGUGUAAAGUACUUUCAGCGAGGAGGCGUUACCAGCAGAAGAAGCACCGGCUAACUCCGUGCCAGCCGCCGCGGUAAGUC